rnacentral:rRNA from 1 species
CCUACGGGUGGCAGCAGUGAGGAAUAUUGGUCAAUGGGCGCGAGCCUGAACCAGCCAAGUCGCGUGAAGGAUGACGGCCCUACGGUUUGUAAACUUCUUUUAUAUGGGCAUAAAGUGAGGCACGUGUUCCUUUUUGUAUGUAUUUUAUGAAUAAGCAUCGGCUAACUCCGUGCCAGCAGCCGCGGUAAUACGGAGGAUGCGAGCGUUAUCCGGAUUUAUUGGGUGUAAAGGGAGCGUAGGUGGGUAAUUAAGUCAGUUGUGAAAGUUUGUGGCUCAACCGUAAGAUUGCAGUUGAAACUGGUUGCCUUGAGUACAGUUGAGGUAGGCGGAAUGCGUGGUGUAGCGGUGAAAUGCAUAGAUAUCACGAAGAACUCCGAUUGCGAAGGCAGCCUACUAAACUGCAACUGACACUGAUGCGCGAAAGCGUGGGGAUCAAACAGGAUUAGAUACCCCAGUAGUC